UACGUAGGCAGCAAGCGUUGUUCGGAAUUACUGGGCGUAAAGAGUGUGUAGGCGGUGCUCCAAGUCUGGUGUGAAAUCUCCCGGCUUAACUGGGAGGGUGCAUUAGAAACUGGAAUGCUAGAGGAUGGGAGAGGUAAGCGGAAUUCCUGGUGUAGCGGUGAAAUGCGUAGAUAUCAGGAGGAACACCUGUGGUGUAGACAGCUUGCCAGAACGCGCUCGACGGUGAGGGAUGAAAGCUGGGGGAGCAAACCGG
rnacentral:rRNA from 1 species